UACGGAGGAUGCGAGCGUUAUCCGGAUUUAUUGGGUUUAAAGGGUGCGUAGGCGGAUCGUUAAGUCAGUGGUCAAAUUGAGGGGCUCAACCCCUUCCCGCCAUUGAAACUGGCGUUCUUGAGUGGAAGAGAAGUAUGCGGAAUGCGUGGUGUAGCGGUGAAAUGCAUAGAUAUCACGCAGAACUCCGAUUGCGAAGGCAGCUUACUAAGCCAUAACUGACACUGAAGCACGAAAGCGUGGGGAUCAAACAGG
rnacentral:rRNA from 1 species